rnacentral:misc_RNA from 1 species
ACAAACUUGGUCAUUUAGAGGAAGUAAAAGUCGUAACAAGGUUUCCGUAGGUGAACCUGCGGAAGGAUCAUUACCGAGUAUUGGGGCUAUUUAGCCCCUACUCCCACCUAAUGUUGAUUUCUAUCGGUUGCUUUGGCGGACCGGGCUUGGGCUCCUCCGGCCACGCGGCUAGAGAGCGUCUGCCAGAGGUUUUUUUCAACUCCUGUUGAUUUUGGAAUCUAAGUCGAGAAAUAAAAGCCAAAACUUUCAACAACGGAUCUCUUGGUUCUGGCAUCGAUGAAGAACGCAGC